UAAUACAUGCAAGUCGAACGAACUCUGGUAUUGAUUGGUGCUUGCAUCAUGAUUUACAUUUGAGUGAGUGGCGAACUGGUGAGUAACACGUGGGAAACCUGCCCAGAAGCGGGGGAUAACACCUGGAAACAGAUGCUAAUACCGCAUAACAACUUGGACCGCAUGGUCCGAGUUUGAAAGAUGGCUUCGGCUAUCACUUUUGGAUGGUCCCGCGGCGUAUUAGCUAGAUGGUGGGGUAACGGCUCACCAUGGCAAUGAUACGUAGCCGACCUGAGAGGGUAAUCGGCCACAUUGGGACUGAGACACGGCCCAAACUCCUACGGGAGGCAGCAGUAGGGAAUCUUCCACAAUGGACGAAAGUCUGAUGGAGCAACGCCGCGUGAGUGAAGAAGGGUUUCGGCUCGUAAAACUCUGUUGUUAAAGAAGAACAUAUCUGAGAGUAACUGUUCAGGUAUUGACGGUAUUUAACCAGAAAGCCACGGCUAACUACGUGCCAGCAGCCGCGGUAAUACGUAGGUGGCAAGCGUUGUCCGGAUUUAUUGGGCGUAAAGCGAGCGCAGGCGGUUUUUUAAGUCUGAUGUGAAAGCCUUCGGCUCAACCGAAGAAGUGCAUCGGAAACUGGGAAACUUGAGUGCAGAAGAGGACAGUGGAACUCCAUGUGUAGCGGUGAAAUGCGUAGAUAUAUGGAAGAACACCAGUGGCGAAGGCGGCUGUCUGGUCUGUAACUGACGCUGAGGCUCGAAAGUAUGGGUAGCAAACAGGAUUAGAUACCCUGGUAGUCCAUACCGUAAACGAUGAAUGCUAAGUGUUGGAGGGUUUCCGCCCUUCAGUGCUGCAGCUAACGCAUUAAGCAUUCCGCCUGGGGAGUACGGCCGCAAGGCUGAAACUCAAAGGAAUUGACGGGGGCCCGCACAAGCGGUGGAGCAUGUGGUUUAAUUCGAAGCUACGCGAAGAACCUUACCAGGUCUUGACAUACUAUGCAAAUCUAAGAGAUUAGACGUUCCCUUCGGGGACAUGGAUACAGGUGGUGCAUGGUUGUCGUCAGCUCGUGUCGUGAGAUGUUGGGUUAAGUCCCGCAACGAGCGCAACCCUUAUUAUCAGUUGCCAGCAUUAAGUUGGGCACUCUGGUGAGACUGCCGGUGACAAACCGGAGGAAGGUGGGGAUGACGUCAAAUCAUCAUGCCCCUUAUGACCUGGGCUACACACGUGCUACAAUGGAUGGUACAACGAGUUGCGAACUCGCGAGAGUAAGCUAAUCUCUUAAAGCCAUUCUCAGUUCGGAUUGUAGGCUGCAACUCGCCUACAUGAAGUCGGAAUCGCUAGUAAUCGCGGAUCAGCAUGCCCGGGGGAAAAACCUUUCCCGGGCCUUGUACACACCGCCCGUCACACCAUGAGAGUUUGUAACACCCAAAGUCGGUGGGGUAACCUUUUAGGAACCA
rnacentral:rRNA from 1 species